rnacentral:rRNA from 1 species
GAUGAACGCUAGCGGCAGGCCUAAUACAUGCAAGUCGAACGAGAUAAAGGAGCUUGCUCCUUAUGAAAGUGGCGCACGGGUGCGUAACGCGUAUGCAACCUACCUUAAUCAGGGGGAUAGCCCGAAGAAAUUCGGAUUAACACCGCAUAAAAACACAGGAUAGCAUUAUCCAAUGUUCAAAUAUUUAUAGGAUUAAGAUGGGCAUGCGUGUCAUUAGCUAGUUGGCGGGGUAACGGCCCACCAAGGCGACGAUGACUAGGGGAUCUGAGAGGAUGACCCCCCACACUGGUACUGAGACACGGACCAGACUCCUACGGGAGGCAGCAGUAAGGAAUAUUGGUCAAUGGAGGCAACUCUGAACCAGCCAUGCCGCGUGCAGGAAGACUGCCCUAUGGGUUGUAAACUGCUUUUAUCCGGGAAUAAACCUAAUUACGUGUAAUUAGCUGAAUGUACCGGAAGAAUAAGGAUCGGCUAACUCCGUGCCAGCCGCCGCCGUAACAC